UUUCGCCGAAAGGGCGUUUACAUCAUGGCUCGUAGGCGCUGCCCAAGGGAUGGGGGCCGCGGCCGAAUCAGGUUGUUGGUGAGGUAACGGCUCACCAAGCCUAUAACCGGUGCGGGCCGUGAGAGCGGGAGCCCGGAGAUGGGCACUGAGACAAGGGCCCAGGCCCUACGNGGCGCAGCAGUCGCGNNACCUUNNNANNNNACGAAANNGUGACAGGGCUAUCCNNNNNGCCGUCCGCUGAGGAUGGCUUUUACCCAGUAUAGCAAGCUGGGGGAAUAAGGAGAGGGCAAGUCUGGUGUCAGCCGCCGCGGUAAUACCAGCUCUCCGAGUGGUGGGGACGUUUAUUGGGCCUAAAGCAUCCGUAGCUGGCCGUUCAAGUCCCCUGUUAAACCCAGCGAUUUAAUCGUUGGUCUGCGGGGGAUACUGUUCGGCUAGGGGGCGGGAGAG
rnacentral:rRNA from 1 species